GUGUUUGCAGCAACCUUAUGUGAUAAUGAAUGUUUGGAGCACUGAAAUAUAUUCAUAGAAUGUUGGACUUUCUAUUUUUCAGGAAUGUGAUUAUAACAGUGAUUAUUAAGUUCCUUCAAAUUUUUAAAACUACCUCUUUAAACAAAUGUUGAAAAGCAAAGAGCCCACCAAAAGUACAGGCAGCAAAAGCAAAAAGAAACAAGUGGGACUACAUCAACCUAAAAAGCCUGUUGGAGAAAUGCAGGUGGAAACCACAAUGCAGUGUCACUUCACGUCCUAACGGGGGCAUCUUUUCAUGUUUAUUGGCCAUUUAUUUAUCUUCUUUGGAGAAAUGCUUAUUCAAAUCCUUUGCUGGUUUUUUAAUUGAGUUGUUUGGCUUUUUGUUGUUGAUUUCUGGGAAUUCUUUAUAUAUUCUAGAUAUUAAUCCAUUAUCAGAUAAAUGAUUUGGAAAUAUUCUUCCCAUUCUGUGCAUUGCCAUUUUACCCUGCUGAUAGUGUUUUUUCAUGCACAAGUUUUAAAAUUUUUCAUAAAGUCCCAUUUAUCUAUGUUUUCCUUUUGUUGCCUAGGACUUUGGUGUCAUAUCCAAGAAACUGCUGCCAAAUACAGUGGUGUGAAGAUCUGGUCUUCGUUUUCUUCUAAGAGUUUUAGAAUUAGGUUUUACAUCUAGGUUACAGAUCCAUUUUGAGUUAUUAACGAAUCCCUAUGCUGGUUUCUGCCAAAUAAAAGUUAGUUCUGUCAUGUUCCUGCCAUGCACAACCCCUUCCUUUAUACCGACUGGAGAUAGGCUCCCACACACAUCUCCGUGACCGUGUGGCCACUGCCUCCUAAGGGUCUUAUCUUUUCUAAUCCAUAUCACGGACUGGAGACUGGCUCUUACACACAUCUCCGUGACCGCGUGGUCUCUGCCUGAUAAGGGUCUUAUCUUUUCUAAUUCAUACCACGGACUGGAGACUGGCUCCCACACACAUCUCCGUGACCGUGUGGCCACUGCCUCCUAAGGGUCUUAUCUUUUCUAAUCCAUAUCACGGACUGGAGACUGGCUCCCACACACAUCUCCGUGACCGCGUGGCCACUGCCUCCUAAGGGUCUUAUCUUUUCUAAUCCGUAUCACGGACUGGAGACUGGCUCCCACACACAUCUCCGUGACCGCAUGGCCACUGCCUCCUAAGGGUCUUAUCUUUUCUAAUCCACACCACUGACUGGAGAUCGGCUCCCACACACAUCUCCGUGACCGCGUGGCCACUGCCUCCUAAGGGUCUUAUCUUUUCUAAUCCACACCACUGACUGGAGAUCGGCUCCCACACACAUCUCCGUGACCGCGUGGCCACUGCCUCCUAAGGGUCUUAUCUUUUCUAAUCCAUAUCACGGACUGGAGAUCGGCUCCCACACACAUCUCCGUGACCGCGUGGCCACUGCCUCCUAAGGGUCUUAUUUUAUCCAGACUCCUGUACCUCUAUAAUCCACUAGACUUUUACAAAAUACAAGUGAGAUCAUGCCCCCCGCACUUAAAAUCUUUCACUGUCCACAAAAUAAAAAAUAAAUUAUUUAGCAAGGCAUAUAAAACCUGACCCGAUCUACCUAUGCAGCCCUGUCUCCCUCUGCUGCCUCCAAACUCCAUGAGACUCCCUCUUCCUUCUUUCCCCCAUUACUGUCACGUUGGUAAGAUCCCACCCAUUCUUUUAAGAUUCAGAUUAAAACAGAAUUUGUCUAUGACCCCUGCCCUCAGCCCCUGCUUCAGCCUAUCAAUUCCUCUUCUGAGAUCCUGCUAUGCCUUGUACAGCAUAUACCAGUUUUGUUACAUCUGUUAUACUGGAAUCUUCUAUUAAUGUCUUUCUUCUCCAUACAAAAAUGGUGAACUCUUUGAAGGCAGAGAGUGUGUAUUUCUUAUCUUUGUGCCUUCAGUCCCCAGCACGGGGCCUAGGAUGUAGAAAAUGCAGAGUAAAUAUCUAUCAUGCAAAUGAAGAAAAGAACAAAUGAAUAUGAAAGAGAUCAACUCUGAAUCAUCCUGAGAGCAGGGGUAGAAGGGACUGCCUUCCUCCUCCCCCAUCCGCUGACAGCAAAUCUGCCUGCUCCAUCCAGGCUCCUUCUUUCUUGCAGCUCAUAAAGUCCUGUUCGCCUGCUUUCUUGGCUGCCUCACAGUCCAGUCUGAUAAGGUGAUCAGCUGGCUCUAGGUGUGAGGGGUAGGAAGGAUGAGGGAAAGGGUGGCGAUUUCCCUAGCGUUCUGCCAAGCUCGGCAAGAUGCACACUGAGCACACGUUGCAACCUCCCAUUCCUGCCCC
rnacentral:lncRNA from 1 species